rnacentral:rRNA from 1 species
CCCUUAGAUGUCCUGGGCCGCACGCGCGCUACACUGACAUGUUCAACAAGCCUCCUAGUUCGACAGGAUUUGGGAAAUCUUUGAACGCAUGUCGUGAUAGGGAUAGAUCAUUGCAAUUAUUGAUCUUGAACGAGGAAUUCCUAGUAAACGCGAGUCAUCAGCUCGCAUUGAUUACGUCCCUGCCCUUUGUACACACCGCCCGUCGCACCUACCGAUUGAAUGUUUCGGUGAAGACUCCGGAUAGGACUUUUUUGAUUUAUUUCAAUUUUGUCUUAAAAGCUAUCUAAACCUCAACAUUUAGAGGAAGGUGAAGUCGUAACA